CCUACGGGAGGCAGCAGUGAGGAAUAUUGGUCAAUGGACGAGAGUCUGAACCAGCCAAGUAGCGUGAAGGAUGACUGCCCUAUGGGUUGUAAACUUCUUUUAUAUGGGAAUAAAAUGUUCCACGUGUGGGAUUUUGUAUGUACCAUAUGAAUAAGGAUCGGCUAACUCCGUUCCAGCAGCCGCGGUAAUACGGAGGAGCCGAGCGUUAUCCGGAUUUAUUGGGUUUAAAGGGAGCGUAGGUGGAUUGUUAAGUCAGUUGUGAAAGUUUGCGGCUCAACCGUAAAAUUGCAGUUGAAACUGGCAGUCGUGAGUACAGUAGAGGUGGGCGGAAUUCGUGGUGUAGCGGUGAAAUGCUUAGAUAUCACGAAGAACUCCGAUUGCGAAGGCAGCUCACUGGACUGCAACUGACACUGAGGCUCGAAAGUGUGGGUAUCAAACAGGAUUAGAUACCCCUGUAGUC
rnacentral:rRNA from 1 species